rnacentral:lncRNA from 1 species
UUUUUUUUGGCAAACCUAGAAUCCUUUUGGUUGCAUAAUUAAUCAAAAGUUAUGGCAUUUAAGAGACCGUUUCUAUACUAAUCAAAAGUUAUGGUAUUUUAAAGACCAUUUCCAUAUAACAUCAGACUUUUCUCUUUUAUAAUCUUCUAAAAUGGCAAGAUGUGGUGAGGAAGGAGUGUGAGCAUGGUGGUUUGUGAUGUAUUAUAGAAAGAGGGGUUGAUGGUGAUGAGAAGGGGAGGAGGAAAGGAAGAACAGU